GUCCAGACUCCUACGGGAGGCAGCAGUGGGGAAUAUUGCACAAUGGGGGAAACCCUGAUGCAGCAACGCCGCGUGAGUGAAGAAGUAUUUCGGUAUGUAAAGCUCUAUCAGCAGGGAAGAAAAUGACGGUACCUGAGUAAGAAGCCCCGGCUAACUACGUGCCAGCAGCCGCGGUAAUACGUAGGGGGCAAGCGUUAUCCGGAUUUACUGGGUGUAAAGGGAGCGUAGACGGCGAUGCAAGUCUGAAGUGAAAGCCCGGGGCUCAACCCCGGGACUGCUUUGGAAACUGUAUGGCUGGAGUGCUGGAGAGGCAAGCGGAAUUCCUAGUGUAGCGGUGAAAUGCGUAGAUAUUAGGAAGAACACCAGUGGCGAAGGCGGCUUGCUGGACAGUAACUGACGUUGAGGCUCGAAAGCGUGGGGAGCAAACAGGAUUAGAUACCCGAGUAA
rnacentral:rRNA from 1 species